GAGAAGCUGCGCUCUGAAGGUAGGGCUGGGCUUUUCACUGACCAUGUAGGUGGAUUAGUUGUGUGGGCAAAGUGUGUCAUCAUAGCCACUAUGUUUUCUGCACUUGGAGUAGACAGCACCUUGAUAGCUCAGUUGGUAGAGCAGAGGACUGUAGGCAGUUCCUCCAAUGAAGUGCUGUCGUUCCAGGGUCGCUGGUUCAACUCCCGCUCAAAGCAAGCCUUGUCUUCAUCUGUCAGCUCCUCCAAAAUUUAAAAACACAAACAAGAUAACUCCUACUUUAUUUUCCAACCAUCAAUUUUUUAUUCACCCAGCCUAAAAGUCCUGAUUAUCAGUUCUGGGUCCCUGGCAAUGACUGUUGGGUACAAACUGAGAAGCUGUGCUCUGAAGGUAGGGCUGGGCUUUUCACUGACCAUGUUGGUGGAUUAGUUGUGUGGGCAAAGUGUGUCAUCAUAGCCACUAUGUUUUCUGCACUUGGAGUAGACAGCACCUUGAUAGCUCAGUUGGUAGAGCAGAGGACUGUAGGCAGUUCCUCCUAUCAAGUGCUCUCGUUCCAACGUCGCUGGUUCAACUCCUGCUCAAAGCAAGCCUUGUCUUCAUCUGUCAGCUCCUCCAAAAUUUAAAAACACAAACAAGAUAACUCCUACUUUAUUUUCCAACCGUCAAUUUUUUGUUCACCCAGCCUAAAAGUCCUGAUUAUCAGUUCUGGGUCCCUGGCAAUGACUGUUGGGUACAAACUGAGAAGCUGUGCUCUGAAGGUAGGGCUGGGCUUUUCACUGACCAUGUAGGUGGAUUAGUUGUGUGGGCAAAGUGUGUCAUCAUAGCCACUAUGUUUUCUGCACUUGGAGUAGACAGCACCUUGAUAGCUCAGUUGGUAGAGCAGAGGACUGUAGGCAGUUCCUCCUAUGAAGUGCUGUCGUUCCAGUGUCGCUGGUUCAACUCCCGCUCAAAGCAAGCCUUGUCUUCAUCUGUCAGCUCCUCCAAAAUUUAAAAACACAAACAAGAUAACUCCUACUUUAUUUUCCAACCAUCAAUUUUUUAUUCACCCAGCCUAAAAGUCCUGAUUAUCAGUUCUGGGUCCCUGACAAUGACUGUUGGGUACAAACUGAGAAGCUGUGCUCUGAAGGUAGGGCUGGGCUUUUCACUGACCAUGUAGGUGGAUUAGUUGUGUGGGCAAAGUGUGUCAUCAUAGCCACUAUGUUUUCUGCACUUGGAGUAGACAGCACCUUGAUAGCUCAGUUGGUAGAGCAGAGGACUGUAGGCAGUUCCUCCUAUGAAGUGCUGUCGUUCCAAGGUCGCUGGUUCAACUCCUGCUCAAAGCAAGCCUUGUCUUCAUCUGUCAGCUCCUCCAAAAUUUAAAAACACAAACAAGAUAACUCCUACUUUAUUUUCCAACCAUCAAUUUUUUAUUCACCCAGCCUAAAAGUCCUGAUUAUCAGUUCUGGGUCCCUGGCAAUGACUGUUGGGUACAAACUGAGAAGCUGCGCUCUGAAGGUAGGGCUGGGCUUUUCACUGACCAUGUAGGUGGAUUAGUUGUGUGGGCAAAGUGUGUCAUCAUAGCCACUAUGUUUUCUGCACUUGGAGUAGACAGCACCUUGAUAGCUCAGUUGGUAGAGCAGAGGACUGUAGGCAGUUCCUCCUAUGAAGUGCUGUGGUUCCAGGGUCGCUGGUUCAACUCCCGCUCAAAGCAAGCCUUGUGUUCAUCUGUCAGCUCCUCCAAAAUUUAAAAACACAAACAAGAUAACUCCUACUUUAUUUUCCAACCAUCAAUUUUUUAUUCACCCAGCCUAAAAGUCCUGAUUAUCAGUUCUGGGUCCCUGGCAAUGACUGUUGGGUACAAACUGAGAAGCUGUGCUCUGAAGGUAGGGCUGGGCUUUUCACUGACCAUGUAGGUGGAUUAGUUGUGUGGGCAAAGUGUGUCAUCAUAGCCACUAUGUUUUCUGCACUUGGAGUAGACAGCACCUUGAUAGCUCAGUUGGUAGAGCAGAGGACUGUAGGCAGUUCCUCCUAUGAAGUGCUGUGGUUCCAUGGUCGCUGGUUCAACUCCCGCUCAAAGCAAGCCUUGUCUUCAUCUGUCAGCUCCUCCAAAAUUUAAAAACACAAACAAGAUAACUCCUACUUUAUUUUCCAACCGUCAAUUUUUUAUUCACCCAGCCUAAAAGUCCUGAUUAUCAGUUCUGGGUCCCUGGCAAUGACUGUUGGGUACAAACUGAGAAGCUGCGCUCUGAAGGUAGGGCUGGGCUUUUCACUGACCAUGUAGGUGGAUUAGUUGUGUGGGCAAAGUGUGUCAUCAUAGCCACUAUGUUUUCUGCACUUGGAGUAGACAGCACCUUGAUAGCUCAGUUGGUAGAGCAGAGGACUGUAGGCAGUUCUUCCUAUGAAGUGCUGUCGUUCCAGGGUCGGUGGUUCAACUCCCGCUCAAAGCAAGCCUUGUGUUCAUCUGUCAGCUCCUCCAAAAUUUAAAAACACAAACAAGAUAACUCCUACUUUAUUUUCCAACCAUCAAUUUUUUAUUCACCCAGCCUAAAAGUCCUGAUUAUCAGUUCUGGGUCCCUGGCAAUGACUGUUGGGUACAAACUGAGAAGCUGUGCUCUGAAGGUAGGGCUGGGCUUUUCACUGACCAUGUAGGUGGAUUAGUUGUGUGGGCAAAGUGUGUCAUCAUAGCCACUAUGUUUUCUGCACUUGGUGUAGACAGCACCUUGAUAGCUCAGUUGGUGGAGCAGAGGACUGUAGGCAGUUCCUCCUGUGAAGUGCUGUGGUUCCAAG
rnacentral:lncRNA from 1 species